CCAUCGGUGGUCAAUUUUUUCUCCAAAUAAAGAGGCUUAAUGCUUUGUGAAAAUAUACCGGUAACGCGUUGAGUUUGUCGGUUUUUUUCAUUGAAGCUGAGAAAACCCUAUUCAGAUAGGCUAACUCACUCUGGCCCAUGACAAGAAGCCCAAGAAAAAGAGCUAUUCAAGUCAAAGAACAGAGCACUCUUCUCUGCUUCUUUCUUGUGAAUCUUCUUCUUCUUGCUUAUGUGUAC